rnacentral:rRNA from 1 species
UACGUAGGGUGCAAGCGUUGUCCGGAAUUAUUGGGCGUAAAGAGCUCGUAGGCGGUUUGUCGCGUCUGCUGUGAAAACUGGAGGCUCAACCUCCAGCCUGCAGUGGGUACGGGCAGACUAGAGUGCGGUAGGGGAGAUUGGAAUUCCUGGUGUAGCGGUGGAAUGCGCAGAUAUCAGGAGGAACACCGGUGGCGAAGGCGGUUCUCUGGGCCUGUACUGACGCUGAGGAGCGAAAGCGUGGGGAGCGAACAGG